AGUCUCAGUUCGGAUUGAAGGCUGAAAUUCGCCUUCAUGAAGCUGGAAUUGCUAGUAAUGGCAGGUCAGCAUACUGCCGUGAAUACGUUCCCGGGCCCUUGUACACACCGCCCGUCACACCAUGAGAGUUGGGGAUACCCGAAGCCUGUGAGCUAACUGUAAAGAGGCAGCAGUCGAAGGUAGAAUCAAUGAUUGGGGUGAAGUCGUAACAAGGUACC
rnacentral:rRNA from 1 species